AAAUGAAUAGACGGGCACCCGCACAAGCGGUGGAGCAUGCUGUUUAAUUCGAAGAUACGCGAAGAACCUUACCUAGACUUGACAUCCCUGGCAAUGCUAUAGAAAUAUAGCGGAGGCUAUCCAGGUGACAGGUGGUGCAUGGUUGUCGUCAGCUCGUGUCGUGAGAUGUUUGGUUAAGUCCAAUAACGAGCGCAACCCUUAUCCUUAAUUGCUAACAUUUAGUUGAGAACCUUAAGGAGACUGCCGGUGACAAACCGGAGGAAGGCGGGGAUGACGUCAAAUCAUCAUGCCCCUUACGUCUAGGGCUACAGGCGUGCUACAAUGGCCAGUAUAGCGAGAUGCAAUAUCGUGAGAUGGAGCAAAUCUUUAAAGCUGGUCCCAGUUCGGAUUGGAGUCUGCAACUCGACUCCAUGAAGUUGGAAUCGCUAGUAAUCGUGGAUCAGAAUGCCACGGUGAAUACGUUCCCGGGUGUUGCACACACCGCCCGU
rnacentral:rRNA from 1 species